rnacentral:lncRNA from 1 species
GUGGGUCUCAUGGGUCCACUAUUUGGGCCCUUGUCCUCUGAACCGAAAGACCGUUUGAGGGCUAAAACAAGCUCAAGCGGGAUAGGCAAGGCGUCCAUAACCACAAGCAAGCAAGAAUUGGGUCAGCAACUUCAGCAAAACCAUAGAUAAGAUCCCGUUGGAGCGUGUAGUUUCCUAUCACUUGACAAGUCCACACCACACCUACUUUUAUUUCACUUCUAUUAAUAGGAGGUUUCCAAGUGAAAAGAAGAGGGGCGAGGCAACACAAAGGCAAGAGAUGAGACUGAUGAAGGAAGCAUAACCAUGGAAGGUAGCUUUUAGAACGCAUG